GGGUGGUUCAGGCCCUAGGUCUUUGUUGGGGCAGACAGGCAUGUCUGGCUCAGAAAGACAGGGUGCUGGGGUCCUGAGCUGGCAGGGAAAGCAGGGGUAGA